rnacentral:rRNA from 1 species
UACAGAGGUGCCAAGCGUUGUCCGGAUUUAUUGGGCGUAAAGAGCGUGUAGGCGGCCAGAUAAGUCCGCUGUGAAAUCUCGAGGCUCAACUUCGAGCUGUCGGUGGAAACUGUCCGGCUAGAGUCCGGAAGAGGAGAAUGGAAUUCCUGGUGUAGCGGUGAAAUGCGCAGAUAUCAGGAAGAACACCCGUGGCGAAGGCGGUUCUCUGGGACGGUACUGACGCUGAGACGCGAAAGCGUGGGGAGCGAACAGG